GAUGAACGCUGGCGGCGUGCCUAAUACAUGCAAGUCGAGCGAACAGAUGAGGAGCUUGCUCCUCUGACGUUAGCGGCGGACGGGUGAGUAACACGUGGAUAACCUACCUAUAAGACUGGGAUAACUUCGGGAAACCGGAGCUAAUACCGGAUAAUAUAUUGAACCGCAUGGUUCAAUAGUGAAAGACGGUUUUGCUGUCACUUAUAGAUGGAUCCGCGCCGCAUUAGCUAGUUGGUAAGGUAACGGCUUACCAAGGCAACGAUGCGUAGCCGACCUGAGAGGGUGGUCGGCCACACUGGAACUGGGACCCGGUCCAGACUCCUACGGGAGGCAGCAAUAGGGAAAUCUUCCGCAAUGGGCGAAAGCCUGACGGAGCAACGCCGCGUGAGUGAUGAAGGUCUUCGGAUCGUAAAACUCUGUUAUUAGGGAAGAACAAAUGUGUAAGUAACUAUGCACGUCUUGACGGUACCUAAUCAGAAAGCCACGGCUAACUACGUG
rnacentral:rRNA from 1 species